GCCGAGCUCAGAGCGAGUGUGUUCGAGGCCAUCGAAGAGGAAGAUCGCGUGAUUGAGAAGGACCAAGGUCUACCUCCUGCAUUGCUUGGUAGCUGCAACGAUCGAGCUAAACAGCUUCACGCUUCUCCUCCAGGUAGGCUCCUUACGGCCAUGAUAUGUGAGUACCUUUACUGGGCGUAGCUCAAUCACACACUAAAAGUGUACCUUCCGGAAUGAAAAAAGACUUUUGGAAGACGGAGCUUAAGGAGUUUAGUACCAAAAAUGGUUAUGAUCUCAACAAAAC
rnacentral:sRNA from 1 species